rnacentral:rRNA from 1 species
AGUCGAGCGGAACGAGUUAUCUGAACCUUCGGGGAACGAUAACGGCGUCGAGCGGCGGACGGGUGAGUAAUGCCUAGGAAAUUGCCCUGAUGUGGGGGAUAACCAUUGGAAACGAUGGCUAAUACCGCAUAAUGCCUACGGGCCAAAGAGGGGGACCUUCGGGCCUCUCGCGUCAGGAUAUGCCUAGGUGGGAUUAGCUAGUUGGUGAGGUAAGGGCUCACCAAGGCGACGAUCCCUAGCUGGUCUGAGAGGAUGAUCAGCCACACUGGAACUGAGACACGGUCCAGACUCCUACGGGAGGCAGCAGUGGGGAAUAUUGCACAAUGGGCGCAAGCCUGAUGCAGCCAUGCCGCGUGUGUGAAGAAGGCCUUCGGGUUGUAAAGCACUUUCAGUCGUGAGGAAGGUAGUGUAGUUAAUAGCUGCAUUAUUUGACGUUAGCGACAGAAGAAGCACCGGCUAACUCCGUGCCAGCAGCCGCGGUAAUACGGAGGGUGCGAGCGUUAAUCGGAAUUACUGGGCGUAAAGCGCAUGCAGGUGGUUUGUUAAGUCAGAUGUGAAAGCCCGGGGCUCAACCUCGGAAUUGCAUUUGAAACUGGCAGACUAGAGUACUGUAGAGGGGGGUAGAAUUUCAGGUGUAGCGGUGAAAUGCGUAGAGAUCUGAAGGAAUACCGGUGGCGAAGGCGGCCCCCUGGACAGAUACUGACACUCAGAUGCGAAAGCGUGGGGAGCAAACAGGAUUAGAUACCCUGGUAGUCCACGCCGUAAACGAUGUCUACUUGGAGGUUGUGGCCUUGAGCCGUGGCUUUCGGAGCUAACGCGUUAAGUAGACCGCCUGGGGGAGUACGGUCGCAAGAUUAAAACUCAAAUGAAUUUGACGGGGGCCCGCACAAGCGGUGGGAGCAUGUGG